AAAGUUGUUCAAUGAGACUUUCUCUUUAAACUAGUCACAUGGAAAUAGUGUCUCACAUUAUCUAAACUAGUCAAAGAAUGCAUACCAUGGUACUUGCUAAAAAUAUACUAGUUUGUUCAAAAGUCUUAAUAAUAGAUUGAAUUUAGUGACUAGCUUAGACACAAUGUAUGAAAAAUAAUAUUAACUUUCGUUAACAAAAAUUAACGUAUAAAAUCAAUGACUAGGUGCUACUAUAGAUAUACUCUAUGGAUGAGCAAAAUGAACAAUUACAUAAUAUGAUAGAGCAUUUAAGAGAAUGACAAGAGUUAAAAGGCUAACCUACUAUUUACAAUCAUCUUGAGGAC
rnacentral:lncRNA from 1 species